AUUGAACGCUGGCGGCAUGCCUUACACAUGCAAGUCGAACGGUAACAGGCCGCAAGGUGCUGACGAGUGGCGAACGGGUGAGUAAUGCAUCGGAACGUGCCCAGUCGUGGGGGAUAACUGCUCGAAAGAGCAGCUAAUACCGCAUACGACCUGAGGGUGAAAGCGGGGGACCGUAAGGCCUCGCGCGACUGGAGCGGCCGAUGUCAGAUUAGCUAGUUGGUGGGGUAAAGGCCUACCAAGGCAACGAUCUGUAGUUGGUCUGAGAGGACGACCAGCCACACUGGGACAGAGACACGGCCCAGACUCCUACGGGAGGCAGCAGUGGGGAAUUUUGGACAAUGGGCGCAAGCCUGAUCCAGCAAUGCCGCGUGCAGGAAGAAGGCCUUCGGGUUGUAAACUGCUUUUGUCAGGGAAGAAAUCCUCUGGGUUAAUACCUCGGGGGGAUGACGGUACCUGAAGAAUAAGCACCGGCUAACUACGUGCCAGCCGCCGCCGUAACAC
rnacentral:rRNA from 1 species